GAUGAACGCUGGCGGCGUGCCUAAUACAUGCAAGUCGAGCGAACGGACGAGAAGCUUGCUUCUCUGAUGUUGGCGGCGGACGGGUGAGUAACACGUGGAUAACCUACCUAUAAGACUGGGAUAACUUCGGGAAACCGGAGCUAAUACCGGAUAAUAUUUUGAACCGCAUGGUUCAAAAGUGAAAGACGGUCUUGCUGUCACUUAUAGAUGGAUCCGCGCUGCAUUAGCUAGUUGGUAAGGUAACGGCUUACCAAGGCAACGAUGCAUAGCCGACCUGAGAGGGUGAUCGGCCACACUGGAACUGAGACACGGUCCAGACUCCUACGGGAGGCAGCAGUAGGGAAUCUUCCGCAAUGGGCGAAAGCCUGACGGAGCAACGCCGCGUGAGUGAUGAAGGUCUUCGGAUCGUAAAACUCUGUUAUUAGGGAAGAACAUAUGUGUAAGUAACUGUGCACAUCUUGACGGUACCUAAUCAAAAAGCCACGGCUAACUACGUG
rnacentral:rRNA from 1 species